GGUGUAGCUCAACGGAUAGAGCGGGGGACUUCUAAUCCCAAGGUUGCAGGUUCGAGUCCUGUCAC
rnacentral:tRNA from 1 species